rnacentral:rRNA from 1 species
AAUGAACGCUGGCGGCGUGGAUUAGGCAUGCAAGUCGAACGCGAAAGUUCCCUUCGGGGAGCGAGUAGAGUGGCGAAAGGGUGAGUAAUGCUUGGAUGACCUGCCCUCGAGACGGGGACAACAGUUCGAAAGGACUGCUAAUACCCGAUAGUCCGGUUUAGAUGCGUCUAGAUCGGUAAAUGGUGCUUCCGCUCGAGGAGGGGUUCAAGUCCUAUCAGCUUGUUGGUGAGGUAACGGCUCACCAAGGCGAUGACGGGUAGCCGGACUGAGAGGUUGGCCGGCCACAUGGGAACUGAGACACUGUCCUGACUCCUACGGGAGGCUGCAGUCGAGAACUCUUCUGCAAGUGGGACGAACGCCUGACAGAGCGACGCCGCGUGGA